CAGGCUGGCUGCCCACUCGCUUUCUCUCCUCACAAGACGCUUCCCCGGCCUUCGAGGAUCUCGAACGGACUAUAGUCUGGACUCGCUGGGCUGGAGGAAACUUGGCCGCUUGGCCACCCGGAGGAGACUGAGAAGCCUUUGGUCAACAGGGCGCCUUUCCUUGAACCAAAACAAAACUUUCCGAAGCCGGAAAGGAAACGCCCAGUGUCGCCUGAGAGCCCUGGAGCUGCGCGAGACACAGGCACUGAGUGCGGCCUCGGCCGCUGACCUCCAACACGCCGGGAGCAAACCAGCUGGGGCGGCCCGCAGGCCUGCGGGAGCGGAAUGUGAGCCGAAACCGACGGACUUCCUGACCCAUAGUCCAUAGUUCUCUUUAGCAACUUGAACAUUUUGGAAAAAGAAACAAGUCUUAACAUGCCUCGACCUAAUGGAAAAACUAAAUCCCCUUCCUACACCUUGCUUUCCAAAAGUUAAAAAAAGUAAUUAAACGCU
rnacentral:lncRNA from 1 species